UACGAAGGGGGCUAGCGUUGCUCGGAAUCACUGGGCGUAAAGCGCACGUAGGCGGAUUGUUAAGUCAGGGGUGAAAUCCUGGAGCUCAACUCCAGAACUGCCUUUGAUACUGAGGAUCUUGAGUUCGGGGAGAGGUGAGUGGAACUGGCGAGUGUAGAGGUGAAAUUCGUAGAUAUUCGCAAGAACACCAGUGGCGAAGGCGGCUC
rnacentral:rRNA from 1 species